CUUCUCCCUGCACCCAACGAUUUCCGAUAUCAUAUCAUAUAAUCAUCUCAACUCCAAAUAUGACGUUGGCACUGUUAUUUCCAUUUUACAAAUGAAGAGAUGAGGUUGAGAGGUAUCGUUUAUUAUCUUGGCCUAUAAGUACAUGGAAGAGUUGGAAUUCGAACUGAGAGCCAGGAUAUGAACUUACAAGUGCCUUGCUUUAGCACUGCCUGUCCCAGAAGGAUUGUACCUUUCUGCUUCUCCAGAAACUAACUAAAGAUUUUCUCACCUGCUGAGAGUUGAGGAUGUUGCUUCAGGCAUGUUCAGACUUCUGGAGGGGAGCAUUGACCUGAAACCACAGUGGGCUAAUAACAGUAACUUCCAAAAUUGAAGACUGAACCACAGCAGUCAAACUUAUCAACCUUUUGAUCAAAACCGGUGACUAAAAGGAAUAUGAAACCUGUGAUACAGUUUCAGAAAACCUUAUUUCAAAUCUUAUUCAUAUUAACAUGGCCACUGUCACAUGUGCUG
rnacentral:lncRNA from 10 species